GAUGAGCGCUAGCGGCAGGCCUAAUACAUGCAAGUCGAACGGGAUCUGAGGGUAGCUUGCUACCCGAUUUGAGAGUGGCGCACGGGUGCGUAACGCGUGAGCAACCUACCCAUAUCAGGGGGAUAGCCCGAAGAAAUUCGGAUUAACACCGCAUAAUAAUACGCUAACACAUGUUGAUGUAUUUAAAUAUUUAUAGGAUAUGGAUGGGCUCGCGUGACAUUAGCUAAUUGGUAAGGUAACGGCUUACCAAGGCGACGAUGUCUAGGGGCUCUGAGAGGAGAAUCCCCCAAACUGGUACUGAGACACGGACCAGACUCCUACGGGAGGCAGCAGUAAGGAAUAUUGGUCAAUGGGCGCAAGCCUGAACCAGCCAUGCCGCGUGCAGGAUGACUGCCCUAUGGGUUGUAAACUGCUUUUGUUAGGGAAUAAACCUUCUUACGUGUAAGGAGCUGAAUGUACCUAAAGAAUAAGGAUCGGCUAACUCCGUGCCAGCAGCCGCAGUAA
rnacentral:rRNA from 1 species